GCCUUCAGGAUGUCCUACAUCAUAAAAACAUCAUUGAGAACAUAUUUUUGUGCUAAUAUCCAUAUAUAAUCUAUGUUCAUAACUUAAGUAUCACAAUAAACAUUAUUCUUUUAGCUCUUACAUAAAACGAGGCGGUAAAGAGCUGAGGUCUGUCGGUCUGCCUGCCAACCUGUCUCGCUUCCUACCCGUCUGUCUCCUUUCCUGUCUGUCUCCUUCUCUGUCUGUCUGUCUGGCUGGCUUCCUACCCGUCUGUCUCCCUUCCUGUCUGUCUCCUUCCCUGUCUGUCUGUCAGUCCGGGUUUCUAACCGUCUGUCUGUCUGUCUGUCUCCCUGUCUGUCUGGCUUCCAACCCAUCUGUCUGUCUCCCUCCCUGUCUGUCUGUCUGACUUCCUCCCUGUCUGCCUGAGUUCCUACCCGUCUAUUUGUCUCGCUGUCUGUUGUCCUGCUCAUCUGUCUGUCUGUCGGUGCAUCCUUCUGUCUAUCUUUGUGGGGUUGCUAGACCAUGUAGGAAACCCUGAUACAAGAGUGCAGCAGGUUAGUUAACAUGUUAUUGAUUGACUAAGAUCGGCCCUUCUGGUGUCCGCCAGAAUGUUUAACAUUUAAAGAACGGUCUUUCCCAGACAGAAUGUUUAAUAUUUAAAGAACGGUCUCUCCCAGACAGAAUGUUUAAUAUUUAAAGAACGGUCUCUCCCAGCCAGAAUGUUUAAUAUUUAAAGAACGGUCUCUCCCAGACAGAAUGUUUAAUAUUUAAAGAACGGUCUCUCCCAGACAGAAUGUUUAAUAUUUAAAGAACGGUCUCUCCCAGCUAGAAUGUUUAAUAUUUAAAGAACGGUCUCUCUCAGCCAGAAUGUUUAAUAUUUAAAGAACGGUCUCUCCCACCCAGAAUGUUUUAUAUAUUUCAGAAUUGUCUUUUCCAGCCAGAAUGUUUAAUAUUUAAAUAAUCUAUUUUGCAUGCUGACAGUGCCAGUGACUCCUAUAAGAGAAAUACAAUAAAAAUGAAAUCAACAAAAAUACAUUUCAACAUACUUUACCGGUUGCCCGUCUUUAUGCCAAUACAAAGUCCGGAUUGAAUGUCCAUAGAAGUAGUAACCAUAGUAACUGUUUGGGGCGCGGGUUUGUAUCCUGCCCCCAUGACUUCCAGAUUUGUAUUUUCAAACCCCAAAUACAGACCAGCAGAUGUAAAAGUUGGAUUAUUAGCAUAACACUCCCCGGUGGACAGUUAUAACACUCCCCGGUGG
ensembl:lncRNA